rnacentral:rRNA from 1 species
GUCGAACGGGGUUAACUUUUAACACCGAGCUUUUGAGGGGGACCUUGAAGGCUGGGAGUUAAGAGUUAACUUAGUGGCGGACGGGUGAGUAACACGUGAGCAACCUGCCCUUGAGAGGGGAAUAACGUCUGGAAACGGACGCUAAUACCGCAUAACAUAUCCAUUUGGCAUCGAGUGGGUAUCAAAGAUUUAUCGCUCAAGGAUGGGCUCGCGUCCGAUUAGGCAGUUGGCGGGGUAACGGCCCACCAAACCGACGAUCGGUAGCCGGACUGAGAGGUUGGACGGCCACAUUGGGACUGAGACACGGCCCAGACUCCUACGGGAGGCAGCAGUGGGGGAUAUUGGUCAAUGGGGGAAACCCUGAACCAGCGACGCCGCGUGAGGGAAGACGGUUUUCGGAUUGUAAACCUCUGUCUUUGGGGACGAUAAUGACGGUACCCAAGGAGGAAGCCACGGCUAACUACGUGCCAGCAGCCGCGGUAAUACGUAGGUGGCAAGCGUUGUCCGGAAUUACUGGGUGUAAAGGGAGCGUAGGCGGGGCUGUAAGUUGGAUGUUAAAUCUACGGGCUUAACUCGUAUCAGCAUUCAAAACUGUGGCUCUUGAGUGAAGUAGAGGCAGGCGGAAUUCCUAGUGUAGCGGUGAAAUGCGUAGAUAUUAGGAGGAACACCAGUGGCGAAGGCGGCCUGCUGGGCUUUUACUGACGCU